UUAUCCGAAGGAAAACCAUAAUCAAGUGUUGCGGCUUCAAAAGAUGCUUGCCUUCCGUGAUGAAGAAACGGCCGAUGAACAACACGCCAACUACAUUGGACCAAGAGAGCAAAGCCAACAGGCUGCCAACAACGCUGCUGGCGAAUUCAGUGGAAACGACAGGAAACUGGGGCGAGAGUGACGUCACCAAACCAACAACAGUCGAAGCGAUGAUGAGUAAAAAUCAGCACGAACUUAUUAUUUACGACAUUAAAUAUUUUAUGAUUAAUCGCUGUAUUUAUUUUAAAUGUCAAAUAUUUUCUUAAAAAAAGCACAGGAAUCAAUAAGCCCCAACGACAGAGUGGAAUCGACUGUAAAGUCUGAGACUAGCACCACUCAAAAAGCUGAUCAAUCAAGCAAAUCGACGGUUCUUCUCCUUGAAACGUCCAGUAGCGCCAUGACGGCUAAAUUGAACACUUCCCCGUCUUCAACAACCUCUGCAGAUACAACAACAACAACCACAAAUGCUGCAUCUACAACAGUGACGACCACAACACCAAAAGCAGCAGCAACAACAGCAGCCACGACUAUGAUAAAAAUGACAACAACAACCACCAAAAUACCACCAACUACUGCGACACCUAAGCCGUGCACCUUGUCUUGCACAGAUUUCAACGACUUUAUGUUGAGCACACCAUCGAUCAAACCCUCUUCUUCCGAUGGUUCUGUGCAAGGUGUGAGCACGUGCCAAAAGAAAUAUUAUGUUUCUAGCGUAACUGCUCCGAGAAAUGAAGCUGCUUUGCGAUGCAAGUCGAUGAAAAUGGCGCUCUUGGCUGUCACUUCUAUCGCGGAAUUGGAAUGUCUUUCCAAUCUGAAAGGUUUUUUUAAUCUAAAUAUUUAUCGAGGUCUGCAUGUAUUGAAUAUAUCCUGAUUAGAGGGUUCUUAUUGGACAAGUGGAUCUAAUGAGGAUGAAAAUUGCAAUUUGGCGAAAAAAUACGCGUGGUGCUCGACGGGCUCCGAUAUUUCAACAACCCUCACGUCUUCGUCCAAGUUUUGGCUGCCGACCAACACAAUCCCUUCCU